GAUGAAGAACGUAGCGAAAUGCGAUAAGUAAUAUGAAUUGCAGAAUUCAGUGAAUCAUCGAAUCUUUGAACGCACAUUGCGCCCCCUGGUAUUCCGGGGGGCAUGCCUGUUCGAGCGUCAUUUCACCACUCAAGCCUCGCUUGGUAUUGGGCAACGCGGUCCGCCGCGUGCCUCAAAUCGACCGGCUGGGUCUUCUGUCCCCUAAGCGUUGUGGAAACUUUCGCUAAAGGGUGUUCGGGAGGCUACGCCGUAAAACAACCCCAUUUCUAAGGUUGACCUCGGAUCAGGUAGGGAUACCCGCUGAACUUAAGCAUAUCAAUAAGCGGAGGA
rnacentral:misc_RNA from 1 species